GACGAACGCUGGCGGCGUGCCUAAUACAUGCAAGUAGAACGCACAGUUUAUACCGUAGCUUGCUACACCAUAAACUGUGAGUUGCGAACGGGUGAGUAACGCGUAGGUAACCUGCCUGGUAGCGGGGGAUAACUAUUGGAAACGAUAGCUAAUACCGCAUAAUAUUGAUUAUUGCAUGAUAAUUGAUUGAAAGAUGCUAUUGCAUCACUACCAGAUGGACCUGCGUUGUAUUAGCUAGUAGGUGAGGUAACGGCUCACCUAGGCGACGAUACAUAGCCGACCUGAGAGGGUGAUCGGCCACACUGGGACUGAGACACGGCCCAGACUCCUACGGGAGGCAGCAGUAGGGAAUCUUCGGCAAUGGACGAAAGUCUGACCGAGCAACGCCGCGUGAGUGAAGAAGGUUUUCGGAUCGUAAAGCUCUGUUGUAAGAGAAGAACGGGUGUGAGAGUGGAAAGUCCACACUGUGACGGUAGCUUACCAGAAAGGGACGGCUAACUACGUG
rnacentral:rRNA from 1 species